ensembl:lncRNA
CGCUAAGCUUACACAGGCCCAGCAGAAGACCACAUCGGGCUAACGCUAAGCUUACGCAGGCCCAGCAGAAGACCACAUCGGGCUAACGCUAAGCUUACGCAGGCCCAGCAGAAGACCACAUCGGGCUAACGCUAAGCUUACGCAGGCCCAGCAGAAGACCACAUCGGGCUAACGCUAAGUUACACAGGCCCAGCAGAAGACCACAUCGGGCCAACGCUAAGUUACACAGGCCCAGCAGAAGACCACAUCGGGCUAACGCUAAGUUACACAGGCCCAGCAGAAGACCACAUCGGGCUAACGCUAAGCUUACGCAGGCCCAGCAGAAGACCACAUCGGACUAACGCUAAGCUUACGCAGGCCCAGCAGAAGACCACAUCGGACUAACGCUAAGCUUACGGAG